rnacentral:rRNA from 1 species
GGGUUGUGAGGUUAAGCGACUAAGCGUACACGGUGGAUGCCCUGGCAGUCAGAGGCGAUGAAGGACGUGCUAAUCUGCGAUAAGCGUCGGUAAGGUGAUAUGAACCGUUAUAACCGGCGAUUUCCGAAUGGGGAAACCCAGUGUGAUUCGUCACACUAUCAUUAACUGAAUCCAUAGGUUAAUGAGGCGAACCGGGGGAACUGAAACAUCUAAGUACCCGAGGAAAAGAAAUCAACCGAGAUUCCCCCAGUAGCGGCGAGCGAACGGGGAGCAGCCCAGAGCCUGAAUCAGUGUGUGUGUUAGUGGAAGCGUCUGGAAAGGCGCGCGAUACAGGGUGACAGCCCCGUACACAAAAAUGCACAUACUGUGAGCUCGAUGAGUAGGGCGGGACACGUGGUAUCCUGUCUGAAUAUGGGGGGACCAUCCUCCAAGGCUAAAUACUCCUGACUGACCGAUAGUGAACCAGUACCGUGAGGGAAAGGCGAAAAGAACCCCGGCGAGGGGAGUGAAAAAGAACCUGAAACCGUGUACGUACAAGCAGUGGGAGCCUCUUAAUGGGGUGACUGCGUACCUUUUGUAUAAUGGGUCAGCGACUUAUAUUCUGUAGCAAGGUUAACCGAAUAGGGGAGCCGAAGGGAAACCGAGUCUUAACUGGGCGUUAAGUUGCAGGGUAUAGACCCGAAACCCGGUGAUCUAGCCAUGGGCAGGUUGAAGGUUGGGUAACACUAACUGGAGGACCGAACCGACUAAUGUUGAAAAAUUAGCGGAUGACUUGUGGCUGGGGGUGAAAGGCCAAUCAAACCGGGAGAUAGCUGGUUCUCCCCGAAAGCUAUUUAGGUAGCGCCUCGUGAAUUCAUCUCCGGGGGUAGAGCACUGUUUCGGCAAGGGGGUCAUCCCGACUUACCAACCCGAUGCAAACUGCGAAUACCGGAGAAUGUUAUCACGGGAGACACACGGCGGGUGCUAACGUCCGUCGUGAAGAGGGAAACAACCCAGACCGCCAGCUAAGGUCCCAAAGUCAUGGUUAAGUGGGAAACGAUGUGGGAAGGCCCAGACAGCCAGGAUGUUGGCUUAGAAGCAGCCAUCAUUUAAAGAAAGCGUAAUAGCUCACUGGUCGAGUCGGCCUGCGCGGAAGAUGUAACGGGGCUAAACCAUGCACCGAAGCUGCGGCAGCGACACUAUGUGUUGUUGGGUAGGGGAGCGUUCUGUAAGCCUGUGAAGGUGUACUGUGAGGUAUGCUGGAGGUAUCAGAAGUGCGAAUGCUGACAUAAGUAACGAUAAAGCGGGUGAAAAGCCCGCUCGCCGGAAGACCAAGGGUUCCUGUCCAACGUUAAUCGGGGCAGGGUGAGUCGACCCCUAAGGCGAGGCCGAAAGGCGUAGUCGAUGGGAAACAGGUUAAUAUUCCUGUACUUGGUGUUACUGCGAAGGGGGGACGGAGAAGGCUAUGUUGGCCGGGCGACGGUUGUCCCGGUUUAAGCGUGUAGGCUGGUUUUCCAGGCAAAUCCGGAAAAUCAAGGCUGAGGCGUGAUGACGAGGCACUACGGUGCUGAAGCAACAAAUGCCCUGCUUCCAGGAAAAGCCUCUAAGCAUCAGGUAACAUCAAAUCGUACCCCAAACCGACACAGGUGGUCAGGUAGAGAAUACCAAGGCGCUUGAGAGAACUCGGGUGAAGGAACUAGGCAAAAUGGUGCCGUAACUUCGGGAGAAGGCACGCUGAUAUGUAGGUGAAGCGACUUGCUCGUGGAGCUGAAAUCAGUCGAAGAUACCAGCUGGCUGCAACUGUUUAUUAAAAACACAGCACUGUGCAAACACGAAAGUGGACGUAUACGGUGUGACGCCUGCCCGGUGCCGGAAGGUUAAUUGAUGGGGUUAGCGGUAACGCGAAGCUCUUGAUCGAAGCCCCGGUAAACGGCGGCCGUAACUAUAACGGUCCUAAGGUAGCGAAAUUCCUUGUCGGGUAAGUUCCGACCUGCACGAAUGGCGUAAUGAUGGCCAGGCUGUCUCCACCCGAGACUCAGUGAAAUUGAACUCGCUGUGAAGAUGCAGUGUACCCGCGGCAAGACGGAAAGACCCCGUGAACCUUUACUAUAGCUUGACACUGAACAUUGAGCCUUGAUGUGUAGGAUAGGUGGGAGGCUUUGAAGUGUGGACGCCAGUCUGCAUGGAGCCGGCCUUGAAAUACCACCCUUUAAUGUUUGAUGUUCUAACGUUGGCCCCUGAUCGGGGUUGCGGACAGUGUCUGGUGGGUAGUUUGACUGGGGCGGUCUCCUCCUAAAGAGUAACGGAGGAGCACGAAGGUUGGCUAAUCCUGGUCGGACAUCAGGAGGUUAGUGCAAUGGCAUAAGCCAGCUUGACUGCGAGCGUGACGGCGCGAGCAGGUGCGAAAGCAGGUCAUAGUGAUCCGGUGGUUCUGAAUGGAAGGGCCAUCGCUCAACGGAUAAAAGGUACUCCGGGGAUAACAGGCUGAUACCGCCCAAGAGUUCAUAUCGACGGCGGUGUUUGGCACCUCGAUGUCGGCUCAUCACAUCCUGGGGCUGAAGUAGGUCCCAAGGGUAUGGCUGUUCGCCAUUUAAAGUGGUACGCGAGCUGGGUUUAGAACGUCGUGAGACAGUUCGGUCCCUAUCUGCCGUGGGCGCUGGAGAACUGAGGGGGGCUGCUCCUAGUACGAGAGGACCGGAGUGGACGCAUCACUGGUGUUCGGGUUGUCAUGCCAAUGGCACUGCCCGGUAGCUAAAUGCGGAAGAGAUAAGUGCUGAAAGCAUCUAAGCACGAAACUUGCCCCGAGAUGAGUUCUCCCUGACUCCUUGAGAGUCCUGAAGGAACGUUGAAGACGACGACGUUGAUAGGCCGGGUGUGUAAGCGCAGCGAUGCGUUGAGCUAACCGGUACUAAUGAACCGUGAGGCUUAACCUUACAACGCCGAAG